CGGUGCUGCAGGAGAUGGGGGAAGCAGGUUGCUGGCGGGGGCUGCUGAGACACCAUCUUCUUUGGCUUGUGGGGAAACAGCAGUGAGCUGAAGCUGGCAAUGUGAUGGGGAGAAAAAAAACGGUGACACCCCAACACUGCAGCACCCACGUCUGUUACGCUCUCCCCAAGCAGCAGCUUCAGCCCCCUCCUGCCCCAACCCCCACCCAUCACUCGGGGCCGCGGGGAGGGGGGGAGGGAGAGAUGUUGCCCGGGCCGCAUCUCCAACAUUAACAUUUCAUGGGCUCUGCAGCAUCCUCCUGCACGGAAUCUCUCUGGAAAGCUCCAGCACAAAGGAGCUGUACGGCGGCCAAGAGAGCACGCAGCCCACGGUCCCCGAGCCGGCUGCCACCUGGAAGUCAGAGUCCUCAUCAGGAAUAGGGCUCGAGACAGGUAAAUGGAUUCUUGCCUCAUUUGCAGUGCUCCUGGAAGGGAAGCGGGCAAAAUGCUCCUUUGCUUCUUUGUCUUGAAACCACCAUUUUCCUCCAGGCCUGGUGAUGUUAGGUGGGGGUUGUAGAGGACAGUGGCUGAGGGUAGCCCUGCUCUGACACAGCUCUUCCCUCUGCAAAGAGUUAAUGUGACAGCUGCCGCCAGGCUCCUUUUGGGGAGCCAUUUUCUCUCCCUCAUUGUUCCACUGCCUUUGUGUGCGUGUCCAUCUAAUCCCGGGAGCCGGGAGGAAUGAGACCCCCAACCCCAUGGGGACCCUUCCCCAUUACAGCUCUGCUUCAGAAAGCAGCGGCCGAGCCGUGCGGGGACAAUGGGCGGCAGUGGGGUGAGGGACAGCGGUGCUGAGGGGGGGGCCAGACUAGAGCCACUGCUGCGGGCGGAGGGAGGAGGGAUCAUCCCGCUGGGCAGAGCAGCAACAAUGAACCUUGGGCAGCAAACAGCAGCUGCUCGGCAGCUGAAGCGCGCAGUCAUCACAGAGCAGCCCUGCUGGGACUUGGGGCCAUUGUUGCUUUUCCCACGUUGGCCCCGUGCUGCUCGUGCCCGGCGGGACGUGGCCAGGAGGGAUGUCUGCCUCUGCUGCAGCCCACGAGCAGAGAGGUGCGGGCACAGCGGUGGGUCUGAGGGCACUGCAUGGCAGUGCCACGCUCCCCUGAGGCAGUGCUGCAAUGGGGACCUCGGUGCUGAUCCGACAGCACGGCGCUGCUCCUUGCUCUCUUGCUGCGUUGCUUGCUUUCUUUUGCAGCUGCUAAUGACUGACCUGAGGUCUGUUCACACACAGUCCCCUGCGCAGCCCUUGCAGAGGAACGGUCGGACGGGAUGGGGGACGCUGCACGAUGCCCGUGUAGCCAGAUGGCACAGCACCAUCGGCCCUGUGGCUCUGCCACAGCUCUCACCCGAGGGCACUGGGGGACAGGGACGUGACAGCCGCCUGCACAUGGACACUGGAGCUGCCAGCCCCAGUGGAGCCACCUGAUGCCAGCCCGGUUGCUGUGGGAACACAGCUGAAGAGAUGGUGGUGGCAGUGCCUGAGGACACGGGACUGCCUUCACACGGUUCUGCCAGGUGCUGGGGCCCUCUUCUUCCUGCAAACACUCCGGCACUGCUGGGGCUGUCCCCUCCUUGGAGCCCAUCUCUCAUCCUCAUGGUGCCAAGGCUGCACGUCGCAGGGCGUACCCAGGCACUGUGCACCUCACCAGCACGGUGACAGCAGCAGGUCCCCGCCAAGCAUUUCAUCAGGAGGGCUGCACUGCGCUCACCCAUCCACUGACACCUUCCCACAUCCCAUAACCCAGCGGCAAAGCCCAAAAACGCCUCCUGCUCUCCUAAGCCAUACCCGGGGAGGUGCUGCCUUGAGGGGGGACUAACCGUGCCCGGCUGUGCAUGCGUGUGCUCUGCUCCUCUCCAGCACUAACCAGGCCCCCUGGGCACCGUGUGCUCCUUGUGAUCACUAACCCACUAACACACCCGCGCAUGCCCUACUAACAGCCCUGCAGCCACUAACAGCCCACAGGCCUUAAAGGGGAACGGAAAAGCUGGGUAAGUACGGGGCUGUACGGGGCACUGUGGGGCUGGGGGACCCAUGCAGAACGUGGGGCAGGCAGGGCAGGGUGAGCAGCCCCUCUGCAUGCCCCCUGCAUGGGGCUGCUCUCUGCAGCAGUGGGGCUGCGAUGCCCGGAGUGCUGCAUAUGGUUCUGCUGCUGACUGGGAGGCCAAAAUGGUUUUAUCAGCAGAAGCUUUUCAGUUCCUUUUUAAGCCAGUGGAUCUCUCUGUUACUAACACGUUCCUGAACUGAAUUAAACAAACUAAUCGUUGCUGCUUUUCUCUUCAUUUCUCUUCUAGUGUAUAUGCUCUCUAAGUGCGACUGACGAUGCCAUGCUUCUCUGUACUAACAGCCUGCACUAACCUCUCCUUACUUGUUUCCCUAUUGCCUCUAACAAUUGUUCUUCGCACUUUAACUUUCCAGUGCUGUUGGCCAUGACAGAUGAGCAGUGGUCCCCACCCACCCAGGGACCCAUGGCUGCUGACCCCACACUGCCAUUGGGUGCAGCGCAAAGGGAGAGGCUCAGGCCAGGGCUGAGGGUUUCAAAAUUUCCCUAUUGGUCUGUUGUUUGCUGAGAAAUUUCACGUGGUUCAUUGAGGAAAAGAUACUGAGGGGAAAGGGGACAAUGCCAAAACCACGAGCAACCACUGGCAAUUGCCACAAGAAUCCAGCAAAGCUGCCCAGAAGGCAGCACGAUGGCCACGAGCCCCCCAGCCCCAGUUCACCUGUCAUGGAAACAGCCUCUCUGCAUUGGUGCUCACAUGCAGGGCAGCUGCAGGCUCUGCUGGCUCUCUUUGCUCCCUUUUUCUCUCUGCAGUGAUCUCGUGACCCCGAUGCAUGCAGAAAGGUGGUGCCAGCAGUGUGCUCCUAACUAACCACGAGGUUCUGAGGGCUGAGGCUGCCCACGGGUUGGUACUCACAAUGUCCUGCCAGCCACUGAUGGUGGCAGUGACAGUGAUGGUGAUGAACUGGCAAAGUCAGCGUGCUGCUAAUGCUGGGGCUGGGCUGCAGCCCUUGCUUUGCUUUCCAUAGGUCUGAAAUUAGGUAAAACUCCCCUGCAUUUGCCUGGGGUUGAGGCUUCAGGAUCCAGCCAUCUGCCCAGGUUUAGCAUGCGGUGUCUGUGGGGCAUUGCCAGCAUGCACAGAGCACAGCUCGCCCUGCAUCCAGCAGAUGAUGGUUGUCCCUAUGCUGCCUUCCAUCCCUGGGACAGGGGUCUGGCUCCUGGACCUGCAGCUGGGGAGCACCAGGAUGGCUGCCCUCUGCACCCCAGCCAUGAGUGGGGAAUCAGCAGCUGAAGCACCCACAGGCAAGCAGCUCCCCACCUCCUCCACAUUAACCACUAACAAUCCACUCCCUGCCCUCAGCCAGGCUGUGAUCAGGAGGAGUUUUUGGGCUGAUGCUCAUAUGUUCGAUUGAGGAGGGUGCCUGCUUCUUCCUGAUGGGGGAGCAGAGACAUUGGCUCUGCAUGGAGCAUAGGAGCGGAAUGGGGAAAGGAGCAGGAGGAAGAGGAGGACGGGAGGAUGGGCCAGGUCCAGGGCAGGGCAGGGAUCCCCCCCUACCAGGGCAGUAGGUUCAGGGCUUGGGCAGAAACCUGCAGCAACGAGCGCUGCUUCAUCCCUACACCGUGAGCACCAUGAGCACUUGUGUACUCCAAGCCCUGCCUGCCUGGAGCUGCAGAGAUGAAUCCUCCUUUGCUCUACCCCUGCCACCUCAGCACUCCCUAUCCCAGCCCUGUGUUUCCCUUGUCUGGGAGACAGUCUGUCUGUCUAUUCCCAUUUGAGACUUGCCUGGAGAUAGGUGGUGGUAAAGGGGGGUGUGAGACCUCCAGUAGUGUUGUGGGCAGAGGUCCAGACAGCAUUUGGCCCCGGGGUACCCCAUCCUGCCCAGGACACACCUUAUACCAGGGCAUGAGAACUUCACUGUGUGUCAGCUCCCUCCUGCUCUAGCUGUGGCUCGAAGGUCUGUGGGUGGGAGGGCAUCAGAGCCAGACACAGGGGUGCUGAGUCAAGCAUGUCCCCAACAGCUUGCUCAAUGCCUGGUGUUCCCGCAGCCCUGCAGUGCUGCUGGGUGCAGGGCUCAGUGCUGGCACGGGGUAGGGAUGCUCUGGGGAAGGGGACGUGGAGCUGAGGAUGUCCUUAUUGCCUGUAAUGUCUGCUGUGAACAUGGCAAGUGUGCAAACACCUGUGUGUGGU
rnacentral:lncRNA from 1 species